AGAGGGCGCGCCAGGAACGUUCAUUUCAGGGAACAAUUGGGAGAGUGGUGGUGGGUUCCUGAAGGCGUGCAGGCCCGACUGCGGGAAGAGUGUUGAAAAUAGGCUCUGUAAGGAGAUGAAAGUAGAAGGAGCUUUAGAGCAAGUGAUCACCAUUCAGCAACCCCACGUGUGGAAAAUGCUAACGCGUGUGGAGGGCUGAUGUGCAGGGAGUGCUUGGAACAUAGGCCAAGUCUCUAAGAUAGAAACCAGGGAAAGCUGUUAGGGGCCUGGAGCUGCCAGAGAAGAAACCUCAGAGUGCGAAUCUGUGAAUCCUGUAACUGCAGCAGAAACGAGCAAGCUUCCACUUGGAAAUCUCCAGGCACCAGGAAAUACUGCGUUACUUCUCACCCACCACGUGGGAGCUGAAGAAGACUGAGCAGAGUGAAAGAAAAACAGGUGAAGAGAGAAGCAGACACCAGCAAUUAAAUAUCCACGAUGAAAAUGAUAGUGGACGUGCCAGGACUCGCAGAGGCCAAGUGCCUGCAAGCUAGCCUACUGUGCUGCUAAAGCCUGGACCAUGGUUCCUCUUAAUUAAAACUCAUCUCUCAAGCAGUGGAGAUUUUAUAGAGCAUCUUUUGUUGGAGACAGUAGUAUUUGAUGUGGUUUGUAAAUGUGGCCCUGUAGACGCAGUGGAAACAGCUCAGACAGGAAGCCCAUGGCAUGAACCCUUCAAGUUUCCAGUGAUGUCAAGAGGAGAAGGAAGAGAUGGUCAUCCAUGCACGUCCCACAGGAAACAAAUGCUCUCGCUGAAACUGGAGCUUGCUGAGUAGGCAACACUGCCUCGGAAGAGAUGGCUCAGUGGCUAAGAUGGCUGCCCCUGAAGACCUACCUAAUUCAGUUCCCAGCACCUACACGGCAGUGCACAAGCAUCUAUAGUUCCAAGAUCUCAGGAUCUGAAAUGCCCUCCAGAGAGCUUCUACUUGUUUACUCUUGUCCAAUAUGACAAGCUGGAGGAAUUCUAGGGGCUGGAACAGAACAUGAAGACAUCACUGGAGCUGGUUUCUCUUUUGUCAUGAUGAGUGGUGAUGUUCUUGCCUUGAACUGGCUGUCAAGUGGCUUUAAUUGAGGAUGAUAAGAACUUCGGUCUAAUUUGUUCGCUAAUUCACUAGCUUAUCUUAAAACCUACUUAGUGUUGACUACGUGCCAAGCUUUGGGGACUAGGAUUGGAGUCGGGGCAGGAGUUAAGGGAAGGGGAGCAGGGGAAAGAGACAUCAUAAGAGCCACACUGAGCCACAG
rnacentral:lncRNA from 1 species